GAUGAACGCUAGCGGGAGGCCUAACACAUGCAAGCCGAGCGGUAUUUGUCUUUCGGGACAGAGAGAGCGGCGUACGGGUGCGGAACACGUGUGCAACCUGCCUUUAUCAGGGGGAUAGCCUUUCGAAAGGAAGAUUAAUACCCCAUAAUAUAUCUGAUGGCAUCAUUAGAUAUUGAAAACUCCGGUGGAUAGAGAUGGGCACGCGCAAGAUUAGAUAGUUGGUGAGGUAACGGCUCACCAAGUCAGUGAUCUUUAGGGGGCCUGAGAGGGUGAUCCCCCACACUGGUACUGAGACACGUACCAGACUCCUACGGGAGGCAGCAGUGGGGAAUAUUGGACAAUGGGGGAAACCCUGAUCCAGCCAUGCCGCGUGUGUGAAGAAGGCCUUAUGGUUGUAAAGCACUUUAAGCGAGGAGGAGGCUACUGAGACUAAUACUCUUGGAUAGUGGACGUUACUCGCAGAAUAAGCACCGGCUAACUCUGUGCCAGCCGCCGCGGUAA
rnacentral:rRNA from 1 species